CUAACAGCUCCUGGGGAAACUCCACUUCCUUUACGGGGAGGCAAAGAAAUCAAACAAGAGAUGAAGGUGUACUUUGCGCAUCAUGGUGGGAAACUGGGAGUCAGAGGAAGAGAUGCUGGUGCACAGUAAAUCUAGCCAUAAAGACGCUGCGGAGAGGACGUUCGCUGAAUGAGGUGAUGACUCCCGUUUCCCCCCAAGGACACACAUAGUUCCCAGUGAGAGAAGUGUAGGAAAAACGAGGGAAAUCUUCUAAGAAUGUAGUGGAUAUGAGCUGCAUUGCCUUUAGGGGAUUGGAGUGUGCCUCUUAGUCUGGAUAAAGUCUGUGUUCUUAUCAUCUCUUUCCAUUAUUUGAGGAGUCUUGACCUUGUGAGCCCAAAUAUCUUGGCACAGGAAGGUUUUAUUUUGGGGCAAAUUGUAAUUUCAGAUUCAGAUCUCUUUUAUAGUCAGAAUAAACUAAUGAAGAUGGAGAUUAAGGAGAAAGAAAAUGAGGCAAGUUCACAGAUUACUUUUUAAUUAAGACAUUGGACAGAAAGGAGGUAAAGCAUGAUUAUGGAAAUCUAUUUGUCCUAUGUUAUAUAUAGCACUUGUCUGGACUUUUCAUUAGGCAUCCUCCCAUCUAUAGUACUUUGGAAUACACUGCUAUAUCAUUUGGUCUGGUUUAUUGAUAAAAUCCUAAUAUACUUAUAAAGCAAAAAAUACCAGACUGGGUGAUAAAACGAUAAAGGCCUAGACUUAUUUCCAUUAUUGUCCCUGCUCUUUCACACUCCACCAACCUUUAACAAGAUACUGUAUAUACAGGCGUUUAAUCAUUAUCCCUGACCUAAUGAAGACCCUGUGAGGUUUUAAACCAUCAACAUGCCCAAAUAAAUAAAGGCCUUAAAUAUAACCUUCUCCUUGCUUUGCAAAAGACUCAGUACAGUAAGUGUUAUAACAUACACAUAAUCCAUAACACAAUCUCUCGAUCCCAGUGCAGCUGAACUCUGACCCUGCAAAGAAAGCCAAGAAUCGCACACUUCAGUGCGCUGGGUAACCAUAAAAAUAUAGCAGAGCUGACAAUAGAAACUCAAUAUAUACUGAUAGCAGCGUAUUCACGCCGGUUAUGAUACCUGCAACUGUUACAUUUCCUUUCCAAUGAAAGCUAUUACAUAUUUUCCACUGGGCAUCUCCACCUCAUAAUGUUAAAGAUCGAGUGGAUUACAGAGUGGAUUGCCUUGCAACAGAGAAACAAACACAGAUCUUAACCUGGUGUCUCCCCCUGAUAUGGUGUCAUAUCACGAGCAUGCAUGAGUCACGGACACAAGGAGCAGGUCCUUUACAGACUACCGAGUGAUCUCCUCCCUCCUCCUCAGGGCAGAAAUAGGCUCCGCUAACUAAAGCCCUAACUAGCUCAUCAAUGUCUAUGAUGACAAAGUUUAUUCCAUUAGUGGGUUGUGUGUUGAUGUUUUUAGUGUGGAGCUGUGUUAUUUGACACAAACUUGUGUCUUGUAAUAGGCCCAUUAGAAACAGUGGUAACAUUUAUGGUUGGGUUACUCAUGUACACACAGACACACAGGUAAGUAAUUCAGGUGAAAUUUCCCAGGAGCAAAGGUACAUUCCAGAGGCUGGUAGCGAUAUAGAUUGGACUUGGAAAUUAUCCAGAGCAGAGUGCAUAUCCAGGGCAACCUCUACACACAUAAAUAAGCAGCCGCAUACACAAGUUCACACUGAGAAAGACUCAAACACACACUCUUACUGCUUGUUCAACUGAAUAUUAAGCAGUGCAGGCCAAGUACAGCAGCCAUACUUACAACUUACAACUGGUCCUAGACACAGCUGCUCUUUUAUACACACAAUUACUGGCAGCCAUUUAUAGGCCUUCAUCUCUCUAACAUGCAUAGCAACCUAAAUGAAGUGCUCUGUGGGGCCUCCCAGCACCCCUCUGGACCCCUUUUCCUUUAAGGCACUAUAGGUGUGCAGGCAUUCAGGGGACACGAUACCCAACUGCUCUUUCAUAAGUCACAACUGCAUAGUCAAGUCCAACUCUGGGAUCAAAAAUUACUCCACAUGCACACAUAAAUGCACAAAGCUGGUGGUACAUGGUAUUUAAGGCAAACUUCCAGCUGCAACACAUUAUACAUUACAGCAGCACACUCAUGUUGUUAAGGGACCGCGGCAUCCUCUGUGUGAUCUCCUGAUCUGUCAAACUGCGGUCUGCUCUUGUCUUAACUCUGCCUUGACUUUUUCACUCUAUACUCCUCCAUGAAAGCCAUCCUUAGAAAGCUAGAAAUAGGUGUUCAGUGUGAAGAAAAAAUGACACCAAUGAGAGAAAAUAACUGGAAACACGCUGGAAGAAAGUGUGGAAGAGUGUGUGUUUGUAUGUGUGUGUUUUUGCACAUUCCGUGCAGCCUCAGCAUCCAGUUCCUGCGGGUUUGGGGGUUGUUUAUGUCAGAGAUGGACUCCUAGCCACAGCCUCCGACUACAACACUGCAGAGGAAGCAGCAAACAGCAAGCCUCAGCUCCAGAUGUUGAAAGGAAAUCCCAUUUAGAAACACAAAAUCAGACUUGGAGCUCAGGUAUGAACAGAUCCACACAUGCAUUCUCUCAUAAACUCACACAUAGACUGUAUAUGUGGGAAUCUACACUGAACACACACACACCUGUGCACUAACACUUACACACCUGCACUCAAAUGGACAGUCCUUACAUGCAGUUCCCUGUUCUCCCAGCUCCUUUUCCCCUUAAAACACUGCCUCUUUAUUCUCUAUGAACAAAAAAAAAAAACACUCUCUCUUUCUGCACACACACACACACACACACACACACACACACACACACACACAGAAAACAGGGGACUUCCAGCCACUGAGAAAUAGCAGCGUAAUUGCCGGUGCUCUGUUGUCUAUCAAGACCUGACCUUUUCAACAUGUGUGUGUCAUAUUGGGAGCAGUUGGAACCGGCGAGGAGGAAGACAGGGGUCUCCCCAGCUCUGUGGUGGUCUGACCCAACCUCCCCCUCCUUUCUCCAUUCCAACUCCCACAAAACUAUGGGAACUCCCAAUGCGUCCCUAUGUUCUGUGGGUUCGGAGGCUAGGAAGGGAGGACGCGACAUACCCACAAAUCAGACUCUUGGCAGGGGGACAUCAAAGGCGGAACAAGACGAUGUGGAAAGGACAGGGGGAGACAGAGCUGCCCUGUCUCACUGCGGUCCCAAGGGGAUGGAGGAAAAUUCGAGGUCUACGUGUAGAGCCCAGACAUUAUAGUGGCACAAAUGUAAGCUUUCUGUUGGUGCCAGUGGGAAAAUAGCUGACUAGUAUUGCCUUACAUGAAUCUGGCCUUGAAAUAAGGACAUUAAAGAAUGAAACAUAUACAGAGACAUACUCAUAAUAAACAUAUGAGAGUUUAUAGGAUUAUGCAUCAAUGGUAAGCGGAAAGAAAUGGUUUUGACUAGCAAAGAAGUCAUCCAAACAAAUAGCAAGAAACUAAUAUCAAGAGUGUAAAAGUAGAUGUGGGGUCCACGAGAGAGCCUUAUAUGAAAUCUAAUCAAAAAACAUAUCAUAAGCAAAAUGGACCACUCACAGGCCUAAUGACAAGUCGACUUUAUGUUGCUACAUGACAGAAAAGCUCAGCUCUCAGUGAGGGCACACAAAGCUGUCCUCAGAAAUGUAUUAGGAGCCUAUAAGCCGAUAAUUACACCAAUUGGCAUGUCGGAUGGGGCUUUCACUUGGUUAUUUACCCUUCCCUCUCCCCUUGUCUUUCACUAGUCAUAGGCCACCCUGCUGAUGGUGUAGGGACCAUGAGAUGGGGGAACUAGUGGUGGCCGUGAUGAUGGUAGCGGUGAUGUGCAUGUGGGAGGGGGCAGGGUUCUGUAUCAGGGGGAUUAAGGAGAGAUUUCUCUGCUUGAAUCGAGUGACAUUAGCUAUCCGGGACAUAGAUGAAGAGGAAAGACUUGGAUGGAAGGAGGAGGAGAGAGGGAGUAAGGACGAGGAAGGGUUGCAAGGGCUUGAAGGGAAAGACACCACUAAAAGAAAACCCCUGGUUUAAAGGGUGAUUAAGACCAGUUAGAGAAUCCACUUUGGUGCACCUGGUUACUCAUCGCUUUAUCAUGUGCCAUCAGCCCCAGGGCCCAAUACAGCUUGAGGUAUACUAUGACAUAGAGCAAGGCCCUGAAUUGUUUGAGAUUGUCCUCAACACAUGCAGCACCAUUCCUAUAGCAACCACACACCUAACUGAGCCAUGAAAACACUUAACCUCCAGGAGAGAAGCCCUAUCCAGUUUAUGGGCCGUACCGUGAUGCUGUUUCGCACGCAUCGUGGUAACGAUUAACGCUGGUAAAUGUGAGCCCCCUACCCCAACGAGCUCCCAGCUAUCUCCUCUGGAAACAGCACUAUAGCUGUUUUAAAAAAAUAAUUACAGCAGGUUUUUGGCUCUUUUAUUGUAGCUGUUGUUAUUAUUGGAGGCCAUAAAAGCAGUACCAGAUUCAGCACUGAAGGAUGUUUGUCAGCAAGUGAGAGAGAGAGAAAGAGAGGGAAAAAAUGAGAAGACAGGGUGGAGUUAGCAAGAGCCCCAUUCCUUUUUUCCUGGUAUUCUUGCCUUUGUUUGAUAGUCAAGAAUAGAAAGUAACAAGAAAAAGGGGAAAACGUUCCUGCCAGAAUUGAACCAAACAUGUCACCCCCAACAACAACACGUCCCCGUCUGGUCCUCAAGGAAGCCCCUAAAGCCCCAUACUUGUUUGACCUCAAGUAAUGCAUGCCCUGUAUCAAGGAAUGACACAAUGGGCAAUGUUUGCAUGCAUGCACAUGUGUGUGCGUAUGUGCUUACAGUACACAGAGAUUUGUUGUAGGAUAUAUCACUCAAAUUAGAAAAAUUAAAAAACUAAUUUUUUGGUCCCCAAGCCUUUGAUGCCAGCCCACACUGUCAUUAUGCUACAUAGACCAGAACCAUAAUAACACCUCUCCUAACUCCUCCUCUCCCAGGACUCAAGAUGAAGUGUCAAAAUCCCAAGGCAGAGGGAGAUCACAACAAACUGAUUAUCAACAGGAAGUGGCUCCAUUAUGGGCUUAAAGAUAGGAGAGAGUGCUCUCUGGUUACAGCACUCACUCAAAUCCACACAUUCCUGCAGGGUUUAGGGAGAGCCGGGUCACUCCUGUGGACUCUGCUCCCCAGCCACUGCCUCAGCCCAGGGGCAUUGCUGAGGGUACAGCUGGGACGUUGAAGGGAUUUGGGGGUCCUUGAAGAGGGGCGGGAGGGUUGUGGAUGUGUAGGGUGGCCUAAUAAUCAGGAGAAACUUGACAGCCCUUGUCUUGUGACUUUGCACACCUGCAGUGAGUGGCUGUGUUAUUGGGAUGAGGUGAAUCUUCUUGGAUGCAAGGGUAGACUUAGUGAAGCUCUCACAUCUAAUACCCUAAUACACCGACAACAUGUUCAUUCCUGGGGAAGAUGCCAAAUCUUAUCCUGAUACUGAAGAAUGUCAAUACACCCAGUCCAAUUUUGAGCAUCACAUCUCAAAAGCUGACUGAUUUAGAAACAUGAGAUGCUUUAAGUACAGGAUUCUGAGUCUGGAGCAAAUCAUCUAAAAUGUCUAAAAGCCAAAGAUUAAUUAACAAUGAGACCAUUUCCUAAACAGUCCAACGGGGACUUUUCAUUUCAUUGCAUUCCUUCAUCUUCCUAAUGUGAUUAGAACAGAGUUACAACUACUUUUAUGUUCUGCACUCAAAACCCUAACGAUUCCUCAGAGAGUAGGAGACACUGCAAAAAAAGGAACAAUUGAGACAUUUGCUGAGCUGCCUCCCCAGGGAGAGAAGUCAGAGUCAAAGUGAAGAGAUGGAUUGUGCUGGGUCGGGAUAAUCGUGGGCAGGAGAUUGCAGAGUCAUGUGCAUGAUGGAAUAUCUCACUCACAAAAAUGCUACUGACCCAUUUUUUUUCCCUGGAGCAUGCAGAAUAUUGGGAGAACAUUUCAGUCUUUUGUUUGUUUUUUCUACACGUCGUUUGGAGGCGAGUCACCAAGGCUCCGUUGGCUGGGAAUAGCUUUGAAACUGAGGCCAAAAUUGAGGCGAGUCAGGGAGGCCUGAUCUCAGUGUUGCAGUCGGCUGUGUCCUACUGAGGAAAAAACGACAAAGGUCGUGUCACUUUGAAGACAGCGGCAGGAAGAGGACAUAAUUUCAAAGUAAAUCAUUUCAAUUACUUAAGAGUUGGCGCAUGAAUGUUACUUUUAGUAGAAAGGUGGUGGCCUUGUUAAAGGGGAACUGCAUAGAUUUUACACAUCCAAGUCUGUUUACAGGUGUUAGGGAGCUGCACAAAAUCUGAUAAAUUUCGUCAA